GGAAAUUUGGAAACAAUGUGCCUUAGCUUGCUUGGAAGAUGUUAGCAGGUUUUUGACCCGAGGAGGGCAGGUUGCUAUAUUUGAUGCAACAAAUAUAACUGUUGAACGCAGGAAUCUUAUUAUGGAAUUUUGCAUAAGCAGGGGUUUCAAGGUAAUUGAAUGG